rnacentral:rRNA from 1 species
UACGAAGGGGGCUAGCGUUGUUCGGAAUUACUGGGCGUAAAGGGCGCGUAGGCGGCCUGUUAAGUCGAACGUGAAAUCCCUGGGCUCAACCCAGGAACUGCGUCCGAUACUGGCAGGCUUGAAUCCGGGAGAGGGAUGUGGAAUUCCAGGUGUAGCGGUGAAAUGCGUAGAUAUCUGGAGGAACACCGGUGGCGAAGGCGGCAUCCUGGACCGGUAUUGACGCUGAGGCGCGAAAGCCAGGGGAGCAAACGGG